rnacentral:rRNA from 1 species
GACCUGCGGAAGGAUCCAUA